rnacentral:rRNA from 1 species
GACGAACGCUGGCGGCGUGCUUAACACAUGCAAGUCGAACGGAAAGGCCCUGCUUGCAGGGUACUCGAGUGGCGAACGGGUGAGUAACACGUGGGUGAUCUGCCCUGCACUUCGGGAUAAGCCUGGGAAACUGGGUCUAAUACCGGAUAGGAGCCAUUUUUAGUGUGAUGGUUGGAAAGUUUUUUCGGUGUAGGAUGAGCUCGCGGCCUAUCAGCUUGUUGGUGGGGUAAUGGCCUACCAAGGCGGCGACGGGUAGCCGGCCUGAGAGGGUGGACGGCCACAUUGGGACUGAGAUACGGCCCAGACUCCUACGGGAGGCAGCAGUGGGGAAUAUUGCACAAUGGGCGCAAGCCUGAUGCAGCGAAGCCGCGUGGGGGAGGACGGCCUUCGGGUUGUAAACUCCUUUCGCUAGGGACGAAGCUUUUUGUGACGGUACCUAGAUAAGAAGCACCGGCUAACUACGUG